GACAGGGAGAAUGUUGUGGAGAAGUUUAAAGCAAAAAAAAAUAAUUCAAAGCUUGGAGCAUCACUCUGUUCGAGAGGAACCUGUAUGGCCUGACAUGCCAGAACGUGAGAAACCCAGAGGCUGCAUGGAAAAGAAGAUGGCACCAUCUAGUGGACGUCUGAGUACUUUGCAGAUUGUACUCGACGCUUCAGUGUCGAGCUCGUCUUUAGAUCUUUCUCAAGAGCAUAUAAAGGAUGUGACAAAUACUCUACAA